CUCUAAUUGUAAGUCAUUUUCAUCACUCCUCAAUAAUCAUUGAUAGUAGUCAACCUAAUUUUUAUCUGCGUUCACUCCUCUAUUGAUCAUUCAAUUGUCGAUCCAUUCUGCAAGCCCCCAUCAUUCUUAGUGGUGCUACACUGCUACCCUUCAAACAAUAUGGUUUUGGGGGCCUUAUCCGAAAUCACGAAGGCAAAUGGAUGAUUGGAUAUAGCCGACAUAUUGACUUUGCUGACAGCCUAGAAGUCGAACUAUUGGCUAUAUUGCAUGGAUUGAGAGUAGCUUGGGAGAUUGGUGCUGAAGAUGUUAGUUGCAGAUCAGAUUGCACGGAAGCAUUAUCUAUAAUCCUGAGUCCAACAUAUCAAUCUCAUAAAUAUGCUCACAUUAUCUUUUGUAUCAAAGAAUUGAUCUCAAGGGCUUGGUCUACUUCAUUCUUCCACACUUGUCGAGAAAGCAACCAAUGUGCCGACUAUAUGGCAAAGUUAGGUGCAAAUACUACGGGAGAUUUGAUGAUUUUUAGCGAGCCUCUGGAUGCUCUUUCUUCACUCCUCUUAAGUGAUGCUAAAGGAACUCCAUAUGUAAGAAUGUACUAGUAUUUUACAAGUGUCACUUGCUAGAUAUUUGUAACAUGUAAACAAAAAUAGUUCCAUUUUGAUUAAUAUGUGGAGAAUUUUUUAUUAA